GAUGAAGAACGUAGCGAAAUGCGAUAAGUAAUGUGAAUUGCAGAAUUCAGUGAAUCAUCGAAUCUUUGAACGCACAUUGCGCCCGCCAGUAUUCUGGCGGGCAUGCCUGUCCGAGCGUCAUUUCAACCCUCGAACCCCUCCGGGGGGUCGGCGUUGGGGAUCGGCACUUACCUGCCGGCCCCGAAAUACAGUGGCGGUCUCGCCGCAGCCUCUCCUGCGCAGUAGUUUGCACACUCGCACCGGGAGCGCGGCGCGUCCACGGCCGUAAACCAACCCAAACUUCUGAAAUGUUGACCUCGGAUCAGGUAGGAAUACCCGCUGAACUUAAGCAUAUCAAUAAGCGGAGGA
rnacentral:misc_RNA from 1 species